rnacentral:rRNA from 1 species
GAUGAACGCUGACAGAAUGCUUAACACAUGCAAGUCAACUUGAAUUUGGGUUUUUAACUUCGGUUUGGGUGGCGGACGGGUGAGUAACGCGUAAAGAACUUGCCUCACAGCUAGGGACAACAUUUGGAAACGAAUGCUAAUACCUAAUAUUAUGAUAAUAGGGCAUCCUAUAAUUAUGAAAGCUAUAAGCGCUGUGAGAGAGCUUUGCGUCCCAUUAGCUAGUUGGAGAGGUAACGGCUCACCAAGGCGAUGAUGGGUAGCCGGCCUGAGAGGGUGAUCGGCCACAAGGGGACUGAGACACGGCCCUUACUCCUACGGGAGGCGGCAGUGGGGAAUAUUGGACAAUGGACCGAGAGUCUGAUCCAGCAAUUCUGUGUGCACGAUGAAGUUUUUCGGAAUGUAAAGUGCUUUCAGUUGGGAAGAAACAAAUGACGGUACCAACAGAAGAAGUGACGGCUAAAUACGU